rnacentral:rRNA from 1 species
GAUGAACGCUGGCGGCGUGCCUAAUACAUGCAAGUCGAGCGAACGGACGAGAAGCUUGCUUCUCUGAUGUUAGCGGCGGACGGGUGAGUAACACGUGGAUAACCUACCUAUAAGACUGGGAUAACUUCGGGAAACCGGAGCUAAUACCGGAUAAUAUUUUGAACCGCAUGGUUCAAAAGUGAAAGACGGUCUUGCUGUCACUUAUAGAUGGAUCCGCGCUGCAUUAGCUAGUUGGUAAGGUAACGGCUUACCAAGGCAACGAUGCAUAGCCGACCUGAGAGGGUGAUCGGCCAAACUGGAACUGAGACACGGUCCAAACUCCUACGGGAGGCAGCAGUAGGGAAUCUUCCGCAAUGGGCGAAAGCCUGACGGAGCAACGCCGCGUGAGUGAUGAAGGUCUUCGGAUCGUAAAACUCUGUUAUUAGGGAAGAACAUAUGUGUAAGUAACUGUGAACAUCUUGACGGUACCUAAUCAGAAAACCACGGCUAACUACGU